rnacentral:rRNA from 1 species
GAUGAACGCUGGCGGCGUGCUUAACACAUGCAAGUCGAACGGAAAGGCCCAAGCUUGCUUGGGUACUCGAGUGGCGAACGGGUGAGUAACACGUGGGUGAUCUGCCCUGCACUUCGGGAUAAGCCUGGGAAACUGGGUCUAAUACCGGAUAGGACGAUGGUUUGGAUGCCAUUGUGGAAAGUUUUUUCGGUGUGGGAUGAGCUCGCGGCCUAUCAGCUUGUUGGUGGGGUAAUGGCCUACCAAGGCGUCGACGGGUAGCCGGCCUGAGAGGGUGUACGGCCACAUUGGGACUGAGAUACGGCCCAGACUCCUACGGGAGGCAGCAGUGGGGAAUAUUGCACAAUGGGCGCAAGCCUGAUGCAGCGACGCCGCGUGGGGGAUGACGGCCUUCGGGUUGUAAACUCCUUUCGCUAGGGACGAAGCGUUUUUGUGACGGUACCUGGAGACGAAGCACCGGCUAACUACGUG